AACGAACGCUGGCGGCAUGCCUAACACGUGCAAGUCGAACGAGACCUUCGGGUCUAGUGGCGCACGGGUGCGUAACGCGUGGGAACCUGCCCUUAGGUUCGGAAUAACUCCCCGAAAGGGGUGCUAAUACCGGAUAAUGUCUUCGGACCAAAGAUUUAUCGCCUCUGGAUGGGCCCGCGUUGGAUUAGCUAGUUGGUAGGGUAAAAGCCUACCAAGGCGACGAUCCAUAGCUGGUCUGAGAGGAUGAUCAGCCACACUGGGACUGAGACACGGCCCAGACUCCUACGGGAGGCAGCAGUGGGGAAUAUUGGACAAUGGGCGAAAGCCUGAUCCAGCAAUGCCGCGUGAGUGAUGAAGGCCUUAGGGUUGUAAAGCUCUUUUACCCGGGAUGAUAAUGACAGUACCGGGAGAAUAAGCUCCGGCUAACUCCGUG
rnacentral:rRNA from 1 species